CCUCAACCAUGCUUUCUCAUUCACUCCCUCCAAUCAUAUUCUCCACAUUUACAAAAUUCAAAAUUAUAACAAAAUAUCUAUUAUGAAGUUAACUGUAGAACACAACCCACAUUCCCCUCCCUUACCUAACCGUCAAAAAAAAAACUCAUCUAUUUCCUCUCUACCCGCCUCCAUCAAAGAAUAACAUUCAUCAAUCGAUCACCACCGUCACCGAUCUUCUUGCUGGCAAACAAUCCGUGUCAUCGUUGUGUUGCCACCGCAACUGCCUUCGAGUGCUUGUCAGAGCAACAUGAAGCGAGUAUACAGAGCAAGCAGGAGGCUUCUAUGCGAAGAGAAAGAGCAUUAGCUUACGCAUUCACUUAUCAGUGCCUCCAUUCAAGAAUUAAGAAACUUGCUACAACCCUGAUGCGUGACCAGAGUGUUGAAACAGGCCCCCAUUCGCCUGAUCUCCUAGACAAACAACUGGGUUUUCUCACUCGAGUCGUUUUGGAUACUGCUCCUCUUGGUUCAAACUUUGGAGAUUGCAGCACUGAGUGUUUUUUUCCCGAUCAGCCUGCCCGAGAAAUGAGAAAAAAGACUAUAUAAUUAGGCACAUUGCGGGCUUAUAAACGAGUGAACACUCUACUCUUUACAAUUUCUUUUUCAUGUAAAGACAUUCGUAUAUAUCCGUAUAUUGUUGCACUUUAUUGUUAAUAGAGACAUGUCAAAAUUUGUUGUAUAUGAAUGUUAUGAACAUUUUUUCUUACCUAAUA